rnacentral:misc_RNA from 1 species
UCUCCGUAGGUGAACCUGCGGAGGGAUCAUUACAGAGUUCAUGCCCUCACGGGUAGAUCUCCCACCCUGUGUUAUUAUACUUUGUUGCUUUGGCAGGCCGCCCGCGUGGGCUACCGGCUCCAGCUGGUAAGUGCCUGCCAGAGGACCCCAAACUCUGAAUAUUUUAUUGUCUGAGUACUAUAUAAUAGUUUAAAACUUUCAACAACGGAUCUCUUGGUUCUG